UUAUGGUUCUGAUUUACAAAAAUAAAAGUGAUAUUCAACACUACAAUAAUUAUAGAGGCAUAAAACUAAUGAGUCAUACUAUGAAAUUAUGGGAGAGGGUUAUUAAAGCCCACUUGAGAAGAGAAAUUACUAUUUUGGAGAACCUAUUUGGUUUUAUGUAAGGUAGAUCCAUGACAGAGGCUAUUCACUUAUAUAGGAGACUCAUGGAAUGAUUUAGAGUCUGCAAGAAGGAUCUCCAUAUGGUCUUUAUUAAUCUAAAAAAAAGCUUAUGACAGAGUCUCUAGAGAGUUAAUAUGGCAGAUACUAGAGAAGAGAAGUGUUUCAAGUAUGUGGACAUAAUUAAAGAUAUGUAUGAUGAUGUGGUGACUAGUGUGAGAACCAUAAGAGGCCAAGGUAGUGAAUUCCCAAUUACAUUUGGGUUACAUCAAGGAUCAGCUUUAAGCCCUUAUUUGUUUGUGCUUAUGAUGGAUGAUUUAACCAUGGACAUCCAACAUGAGGUACCUUGGUGUAUGCUUUUUGUUGAUGAUAUUGUUUUGGUUGAUGAGACAAAAGCAAGGAUUAACACUAAGCUGGAGUUAUGGAAAUCAACCUUGGAAUUAAGAGGUUUUAAGAUAAGUAGAUCGAAGACAGAGUAUAUGGUGUAUAACUUUAGUUACACUAAGACAGAUAACGACAUGUGAAUACUGUGGAGA